AAAACGAAGGGGGAAAAAAAAAUAUCAGUCACUUCGCCUCGGAUGGGAUAUCCAAGUAAGCACAGCCCCUUUCCUGCAUCUGACAUUUUACAUACAUAAUUAACUCCACAUUUUUCCCUGAGGGAAGUUGGAAAAGAAAAAAAAAAAAAAAAGUCAGGAACUAAAGUUUUUCGCAAACCAGAAGGAGAGAGCCUCUAGCGUUCACAAAGCAGAGGAGUGCAACGGCAGAGGGAGGGGGGGAAGAAAAACAACCAGCCUUUCCAAGGAGGACUCCUGAAAGGUGGUUGUGGUGUGAAGGGGGAGAAAACUGGUGACAAACAACUGAAAACUCUUUUUUUUCUCCUCCUGUUUUUUCCCCCCUGCCUCUCAGCUCUGCUCCCUGUGCUGGGACAGGCCCUUUUCGAGUGUGUGCAGUGCCCACAGACCCUAACACCCAGCACACCCCAACAGGGCCACCACGCAGGGCCGGAUCCUGCCCUGCCUGUGCGGGGCUGUAGGAUGGGUCAGGGGAAGGCUGGGUGCCACCACCAAAGCCUAGCAUCCUCGUCCUCCUGUGGCAGCAGCACCAGCUUUAUGAAAUAAAAUAACGAGAGCGUUAGGAGUUAGGCAGGGAAUUGUUACCUUGGCUAAUUGUCCCUUUGGUCUAAUUAGGUAUUGCCAGGGAUGCAAAUGAAGCGCUCGCCAGGAAGCCCGGAUGGCAAUUUUAACAGCUCCGAGCAGCUGACCUCGGGCUCCCGUCCGCGCUGGAGAACCACCGCCAGCGGAGCUGCAGACUGCAGCCGAGGCGAGAGCCCGCGCCUCGGCGGGGGCAGGUUUUCCAGGAAUCUGUUUAGACACAUACCUGGGCACAUUUGGGCCAGCCUGGGAGGAAGAAAGCGAAGUAGCUGUUUUAAUAUUUUACUUGUAUAUGUGCGGUGUAAAAAGAAAAGGGAAAACAGACCUUGGGUUUUUCGCCAAUUCUUUCAUCGCGCCUCAACGGCAUGGACUCGGGUGCCGUCUCCCACCUUGCUUUUGAGGAGACAGCUCUCUUUUGCCUCACAUCUCAUGGUGAGGAGGGCAAAACCAUCAGUUUUUGACCCAAAACCAUUCCCGGUGGUGACGGUCACCCAGCUGGGGCCACCCUGCGACUCGAGGACACGUCUCAAGGUCUCUCUCUCCUUCCCCUGA
rnacentral:lncRNA from 1 species